rnacentral:tRNA from 1 species
GGCGGAGUGGCUGAGGAGAAAAGCGGCCGGCUGCAAACCGGCACACGCAGGUGCGAUUCCUGUCUCCGCCUCCA